rnacentral:lncRNA from 1 species
UUUUGAGUUGUGGUGACUGUUUCUAAUCAGUUUUGAUUUUUAUCUGAAUCUCAUCUACAAGCCCUACCUCAAAACUUAUUUAAGCAUUUCCAGCUUGCGAUUUUCAGUAAUGAUGAAGCUUUUAAGAGACCGACUAUCUUUCAGAUACUUUUCAGACUCUCACACUAGGGCUAUGCAGUAGAAGAUAUUUUUGGACAAGAAUUACCCUACUCCUCAGAGCAAAGGAGGCAUUCUGAAAGACGGAGUGAAAGUUACAUCGAGUGUGCCUGCCUCUCCUGCCUCUCCUUCCACCUCCUCUAACUCUCCUGCUUCUACCACCCCUGAGACAGCAAGACCAACCUCUCGUCAGCCUAUUCAAUGUGAAGAAAAUAAGGAGGAAGACCUUAUGAGGACCUACGUCCAAUCAAUAAAUAACUUGCGGGAGGUUCUGGAGUCCCAUGGUUAUUAAUCUCUGGAGGCUUCACCAUCCUUUGUGGGUUCCUUUAAUUAUCUCCAUUGCCUCAAAAGCUAAAAAAGCAAGUCUUGCAGUUUGGUGGGAGAGAGUAUGCAGUCACCAACAUGGCAUGAAUUUAGGAGUGAAUAAACGAAAGAAAAGAAAAAAACCUAUUAUUUAGAGUGCUAUGAAUGGUGUAAGCAAGCCUCUUUUGAGAGAGAAGAGCUUCACGGAGAAGCAGAUUUUGCUGGUGGUGAAACAGGGGAAGGUCAUUCCUGGCAGAGGGAGCAGGUGAGCCCAGACAGGCCUGAUAGAAGUCAGUCUGACUCUUCCUUGACCACUUUAAGCCCCAGUAGCCGGCCCAGAUCCUCCCACGAUUCUUGCUGCCUCCCGAACUGCAGUGUGAGCAAAUGAGAUAAGUACAAAAUAUUCCUACACCACUGGCUCCAUGCUCUCCUCAUAUUCAAUCAUGAAGACUAAUGAACCAGAGAUGAUUACGGUGGUAAAAAUCCAAAUGCAGAUUUUUGCUGUCCUUACUAAUGAGAGAAAAAUAUAGUAGACCAUUGGCCUAAAGGCUCCAGAUGCGAUUCCUUUGUAACUUAGAGUGCAUUAAAAAAGCUUCAGUCAGCAAGAUAAGUUAAUUUUUUUAUGACCUUUAUAAACUCUUUUAGCCUGUAUCUCGGGAGCUUCUUAAAGAUUAAAUUUUAAAAAAUCCUUUUAGCUCAGGCCAACACAGCAUCUGAGUCUUUUUUGCUUCCAAGGCUACAUCCAAAAUCUAUAAAAAAAUUCUGUUCAUGACAAUUAUUGUCAAAGUAAUGAUUAGCUAACAUGUCAUUUUUAGUUUUUACUGUUCUUGCCUCUAUGAGACUAAUCCAAUAAAGCUCACAUCUUCUUAAUGUAAAAGUUGCAUGAAGGAUGCAUUAUUCCCGUUGACUUUGCCUACAUUUGCAAAUUCUUGAAAAAGCAAAUUGAAUUGUCACUAGUGGCACCUCUUUCACAGGAUGAUUGUUGGGUCAAAGUGAGAGUGUAGGGGACAAAUAUCAAGAUUUUUGUUAAAAGAAAAAAAUCCCUACCUAAGAACUGUAAAGCUGUAUUAAUAUAUAAUUGAGGCCAUGGACUUUAGUAGACCAUAAGGCACAGCUACCCAAGGUGAUGGGUAUAAUUUUGCAGGGGGAGGAAUGUCGGAGGAAUGUGAAGGGCUCUUCAUUGAUGGCAUCACAAAUUUAAUUUAUUAUGUGAAACAUGUAGUUUCUUCUCACCUCUUUGGUUGUAGGAUAACUGCUCCUUUUAAACACUGUGCUUUUGACUGGCUUGAUUGGUAACUACAAAAGUCAUCAUCCUAGGCAUCUGUCACUACUUCUAUUACAUCCAACCUACUGACCCAGAAAAUCUGUGGUUGACACAAUUGAUUUCUCUAAAAGAUUCAUUCAGCAUUUAUUUUAUUUUUGACAUCCACCUACAAGGUCCCACAGAAAUUUAGUACCUACAUCUCUGUGUAAGAGAAACACAGCCCUUUAUAAAAAGUGCAUAUCCUGAAGUGAGGAGCUGGAACAAAGCAGGAGUCUUGCUUAGAAUGAUUCACUGAAGUAACUGGAUUUAUUAAGAUGUAUGUGAGCUUUGGUGACUAUGCCACUGAAGACAUUUGUGCUCACCUCGUGAGAGGCUGCCACUGGAAAUAACAAC